CCCUUAGAUGUUCUGGGCCGCACGCGCGCUACACUGACGGAGGCAGCGAGCGUGUCCUUCGCCGGCAGGUGCGGGCAAUCUUGCGAGUCUCCGUCGUGCUGGGGAUAGAUGGUUGCAAUUGUCGAUCUUGAACGAGGAAUUCCUAGUAAGCGCGAGUCAUCAGCUCGCGCUGAUUACGUCCCUGCCCUUUGUACACACCGCCCGUCGCUACUACAGAGUGCCCGUGUCCAAGAAACGGUCGGACCUGUGCGGCCUCUCCGGGCGACCGGAGGGCCGUUACGGGGAAGACCCUUUAUUUGACGCGGGUCGAUGAAGUAAAAGUCGUAACA
rnacentral:rRNA from 1 species